rnacentral:rRNA from 1 species
GGCAGGCCUAACACAUGCAAGUCGAACGGGCGUAGCAAUACGUCAGUGGCAGACGGGUGAGUAACGCGUGGGAACAUACCUCUUGGUUCGGAACAACACAGGGAAACUUGUGCUAAUACCGGAUAAGCCCUUACGGGGAAAGAUUUAUCGCCGAGAGAUUGGCCCGCGUCUGAUUAGCUAGUUGGUAGGGUAAUGGCCUACCAAGGCGACGAUCAGUAGCUGGUCUGAGAGGAUGAUCAGCCACAUUGGGACUGAGACACGGCCCAAACUCCUACGGGAGGCAGCAGUGGGGAAUAUUGGACAAUGGGCGCAAGCCUGAUCCAGCCAUGCCGCGUGAGUGAUGAAGGCCCUAGGGUUGUAAAGCUCUUUUGUACGGGAAGAUAAUGACGGUACCGUAAGAAUAAGCCCCGGCUAACUUCGUGCCAGCAGCCGCGGUAAUAAG